GCUCAGUUGGUAGAGCACAACCUUGCCAAGGUUGGGGCCGCGGGUUCGAGUCCCGUCUCG
rnacentral:tRNA from 1 species